AUUUUAAUCAUGUUAUAUAUCGAUAAACGCUACACAGCGGAACGAAAUAGCUAUUAAUUGAAGCUUCAAUAUCUUCGUUAAACAUAAACAUAAUAGAAAUGCUAAUGAAUAAUAAAUAUAUUGGAAUAUAAUAAAAUAAUUCAAUUAUUGCGGAACACAUGUUUUAGUAGGUAUUUAUGUAUUUUAAUUAAAUAUCUGAACUUUCCCUUGGUUCCCUGCUGGGGCGUGACGAUAAAAUUGUGAUCUGAUAACCACAAUAAAGAAUAAAAGCGUGUUCAUUUUAGGUAUCGUUAAACCUUUGAAGUAAAAUUAAAAUUGCAAGAAAUAUCGAUAGUUUAUCGAUAUGACUUUAUCGACAUGGCUACAGCAAGGUUGUGUUAAAUUGUUAAUCGUACACUAAACAAAAGUGGCAACAGUGACAGCUCGCUGAGAUCUAUGGCGUUGCGUUGCGUAUGACAAGCGUGCACGACCACAGAUAAGAUAAUGACUUGAAUUUUGACAACCCUAAAUAGUCGAAAGGGAUAGCAUCAUUCGUCCCUGAACCGCUGUCAAACUUUCUGUACGUUAGUGCUAUUAUUUAUUGUGUGGUGCUGCCAUAAAAUUGACAUUAGGCCUGAGUUACACUUGUAAGUUUUACUUACGUAAGUAGGGACACGGCUAUACUACAGAAUGAGAGAUGAAUAUCGUUAUCUCAUUCAAAAAAAUAGCUUUGUCCCUACUUACGUAAGUAAAACUUACAAGUGUAACUGAGGCCUUAGGAAUAGUUGUUGUGAACCGUCAGUACCUUUUGGCUCUCUAACCUCUACUCUUAUUCAUCUCGAAAAUUCAAUGUUGUUAAUUGUGAUGUUUCUGCAGAAAUAUAUAUCAAAAUGUAAUUGGGAUUCAUAGCUUGAACAAAUCGAAUAGACUGUAUGAGGUAUUAUUACUGAUCUGAUUGUUACAGCGUGCUCUAACGCAUUGAAAACGACGAAGAAUAUCUAUAGUUCGUAGAUAUUUGGCAUUGUCGGGCAAAAGGUACCACUACGUCAAAUAAAGUAUUUUAAUGUGCAUAACUGUGGCGUUCACCUGAUGGUUACGGAAGUUAAAAAGUGACAGUAUGUAUUUCCUUAUUGACAAUAACAACCGACAAAGCGGUACCUUUUUCCUGCAAACGACACAUUUAUAUUUAACAAUCUCUCUCGAUUCCUAGUUUAUAAGACGCAAUAUUCCUAUUGUGAUACAGGCUGUUCCAGAUUACGUAGAAUCUUCCGAAUUUUUCUAUUAUUUUGAAUAGUUUAAAAUGGAAUGAUGCUGUAUCUGUGCUGAGAUCUAAAUUUAUCUGAAACUUUGUAUUCAUCUGUCAUGUUAAGUUACCUAAGUGUAAAGAUCGGUUUUCCAAGGAUAGCGGUGCCGUCAUAUAGCGGCCGUCUCCAUACUAAAUAAUACGGCUAAAUAGUAAAUAUGGAUGUCUCAGUAUUUGUAUGGAGACGGCCGCUAUAUGACGGCACCGGAAUCCUAGGAAUACGGUCAUUAUAAAGUCAUAUAUGUGGGUCAUCUUCUUUGCGUUACCCGGUUUUUUGCCACGGUUCAUGAGAGCCUGGGGUCCGUGGGUACCAUCGCCCUCACUGUUAACUGUCCAUCUGUGGACCUUAUUACACAAGCCAUAAGGUCCACCGAUGGACAGUUAUGAGUGUAGCUGUUUGUACAAGUUUUUAAGUGACGUUAAUAUAUAGGGUUACCCUGCAUGUUUUUUUCUGCUGACUUUUUGGUAUAUUUAACAUUACAGCUGAAAAUAUGAAAUCGACUUUAUUCCUAAAAACUAGACGUAGACCCGCCAAUUAAAUAGACGAAUAGAGCUUUUUAAAUUCAGUAUUGUUUCUUGGGUUUAAAAUGUUUCGAACAUUGGAUUCGUUUGGCUACAUAGACUAGGAAUCCUCUAGACGGAGUUUAGGACAAUUAUAUCAAGAAACCGAUGCUGCCAAAAAUACUGGGGUGCGGGGGAAGAGGUGACCGAGUCCCGUGCCGUGAUUGGCCCGUUCAAAGACACGGGCGUUACAAAAAGACACUGACUCGAAAAUGGAGUAAAACUAUCGUACAUUUGUGGCAGAGGGGGUAGCGCUACUAUGCUCAGUGUGGAGGAUGUCUGGUCUGUGUUUGGCUAGCACAUUAUCAUCCUGUGCCAUAUUAUCUAUACUAUAUUUUCAAGUAUUUGAUUGUAUUACGAUUCUCAAAUUUUCUAGUAUUAUCUUUUUUUAAUGACUGAUUUUAUGUAUUCCAUUUUACGUAUACUCGAAUGUAAUCGAUUUAGGUUAGCAAUUAUAUUAUUCUACUAACAUUUUUAUAUAUUUUUUUACUAUUUAGCGGAUGAUUUUAUAACAACUAGUGUCAAGUGUAAGGCUGAGAAAGCAAACGUGAAAUGAAUAA